UUUUCAUGAUGAUCACAUUAUCCAAUACCAUCUUUCGACUGAUCAUUUUGAUGUUCAUUCUUAACUGAUUACAAAA